rnacentral:misc_RNA from 1 species
GUCGAUAGGGAUCAGUCGAGUGAGCAUCUCCAACACGUCAACAACUGCAGUCCACAAUUUGUCACCAACUGCCUUCUUCAUUGUACAACCAGUUCGCAAUCAUGGUCAACUAUGACGCCGUGCUGCUGUUUGGUGUUGUAUCGUUAAUGGUUGGGUCGAACACGGGUGUACCGAUCUUCCUGGACAUGGUGGAUACCAAGCAACAGGAGCGAAAGAAUAUUACACCACGUCGCCGCCUUACUACACAACAACGUCUAGAUACGCAACAUCUACUAACUACGCCGAGGCCCCCAAGUGCUACACCUCCAAGGCUCAAGAGUUACGCUACAAAUUACGCUGCCCCGAGUUACAUCACCAAGGCGCCUGAGUACUACACGACUACGAAUGCUGCCCCAGCCUACUACACCGAGGCUCCAACUUAUUUCAAUACCACAGCGUUCGAGUACUACACCUAACCGCACAAGCCCCGAACUACACAACCACAACUGAGGCGGCGAAUCAACUAUAGUGUCGUGCUACUGUUGGUUGUAUUAUCCUUAAUGUUUGGGUCGACCACUGGUGUUCCGAUGUCUCGUGGGUAUGGCGGAUACUAAACCGCAAUGCGGUGUCUUACUACACAACAACAUAUGCAACAACCGGAUGCUACACCAUCAACACCCUGGAGUAUUACUCCAGAACUUAUGAUGUCCCGAGCUUCUACACCGAAGCUUUGAAGUAUAACUCUGCCCUGAGUCAAACCACGAAGGGAGCGGAGUACUACACCACGAAGGGAGCGGAGUACUACACCACGAAGGGAGCGGAGUACUACACCACGAAGGGAGCGGAGUACUACACCACGAAGGGAGCGGAGUACUACACCACGAAGGGAGCGGAGUACUACACCACGAAGGGAGCGGAGUACUACACCACGAAGGGAGCGGAGUACUACACCACGAAGGGAGCGGAGUACUACACCACGAAGGGAGCGGAGUACUACACCACCGCGUAUGCUGCCCCAGCCUUUUACACCGAUCGCAUAUUAUGCUACAACCCGCGCUGCCCUCAGCUACUAUACCGAGGCUCCAAAGUACUACACCACCAAGGCAGCAGAGUAUUACACCACAAACUUCUUGCUUCCGCAACUUGCUACAUGGAGGUUCCUAAAUGAUAGAGCCGAAAUUUCCAUUUUAUUUUAUUUAUAUGUGUCGGUUGUCUUCAUGGUCAUUGGUCACUGGGAAUUAAUGGUUGAACUUGAGUUUGAAGUUGAAACUGAGAAAAUAAAAAUUCUAAUGUGGGUAA